rnacentral:rRNA from 1 species
UACGUAGGGGGCAAGCGUUGUCCGGAUUAUUGGGCGUAAAGGGCGCGUAGGCGGCGCGGUAAGUCACUUGUGAAAUCUCUGAGCUUAACUCAGAACGGCCAAGUGAUACUGCCGUGCUUGAGGACUGGAGAGGAGACUGGAAUUUACGGUGUAGCGGUGAAAUGCGUAGAUAUCGUAAGGAAGACCAGUGGCGAAGGCGGGUCUCUGGACAGUUCCUGACGCUGAGGCACGAAGGCCAGGGGAGCAAACGGG